rnacentral:tRNA from 1 species
GAGUGUCUAGUUUAAUUUCCUAAAACGAUAGGUUGUCAAGCUAAAGUUACCUUAAGCUGUAGGGUGUCCCUCU